GAUGAACGCUGGCGGCGUGCCUAAUACAUGCAAGUCGAGCGAACAGACGAGGAGCUUGCUCCUCUGACGUUAGCGGCGGAAGGGUGAGUAACACGUGGAUAACCUACCUAUAAGACUGGGAUAACUUCGGGAAAACGGAGCUAAUACCGGAUAAUAUAUUGAACCGCAUGGUUCAAUAGUGAAAGACGGUUUUGCUGUCACUUAUAGAUGGAUCCGCGCCGCAUUAUCCAUUUGGUAAGGUAACGGCUUACCAAGGAAACAAUGCGUAGCCGACGUGAGAGAGUGAUCGGCCACACGGGAACUGAGACACGGCCCAGACUCCUAGGGGAGGCGGCAGGAGGAAAUCUUCCGCAAUGGGCGAAAGCCUGACGGAGCAACGCCGCGUGAGGGAUGAAGGUCUUCGGAUCGUAAAACUCUGUUAUUAGGGAAGAACAAAUGUGUAAGUAACUAUGCACGUCUUGACGGUACCUAAUCAGAAAGCCACGGCUAACUACGUG
rnacentral:rRNA from 1 species